GCGAUCGUAGUCUAGCCUGGUAGGACACUAGGUUGCCAAUCUGGAGGCCCGGGGCCAUACUUUUCUAGUCAGACGUGUCAAAAGAAAGAAUUAAAUAGUUUUUAUUUUUUGAUAUGUUGGUAUUUUUAUAAAAGAAAAAUACGUGGUGGGAAUUCAAAAGCAAGCUUUUCUCAAUAUUUUAAAUUACGAGAAGAGUCCAGAUUGCUGGCAAUCCCGGCGGUCGCA
rnacentral:tRNA from 1 species